GGGUUUGUGAUAUGCCAUUUAGAUUCAUGGCGAUAUACACUAUUCUGAGUCUUUAGGAUGUCGUCAAAUGUUAUGAAAUCA
rnacentral:snoRNA from 1 species